UCGGCCGUCGUCUAAUGGCAGGACAGGAGAUUUUGAUUCUCCUUAUUGGGGUUCGAAUCCCUGCGGCCGAA
rnacentral:tRNA from 1 species